UACGAAGGGGGCUAGCGUUGCUCGGAAUCACUGGGCGUAAAGGGUGCGUAGGCGGGUUUUUAAGUCAGAGGUGAAAUCCUGGAGCUCAACUCCAGAACUGCCUUUGAUACUGAAAGUCUUGAGUAUGGGAGAGGUGAGUGGAACUGCGAGUGUAGAGGUGAAAUUCGUAGAUAUUCGGAAGAACACCAGUGGCGAAGGCGGCUCACUGGCUCGAUACUGACGCUGAGGUGCGAAAGCGUGGGGAGCAAACAGG
rnacentral:rRNA from 1 species